GGGCACACACUUUAGCUGCACAUACACUAAAAUUGGAAUGAUACAUUAAAGAUUAGCAUAGCCCCUACAUAAGCAUAUGUAAAUGAUUCCUGUUGAAAUUAAUGUUUAG